rnacentral:tRNA from 1 species
GGGCCCAUAGCUCAGCGGCAGAGCGGCUGGCUCAUAACCGGUUGGUCCCUGGUUCGAAUCCAGGUGGGCCCA